UCCUCUCAGGAUCCCUCCCUCUGUCUGGUACAGAUCUACUACACCAGUCCUCUCAGGAUCCCUCCCUCUGUUCUGGUACAGAUCUACUAGUCACAGCAGUCCACUCAGGAUCCCUCCCUCUGUUCUGGUACAGAUCUACUAGUCACAGCAGUCCUCUCAGGAUCCCUCCCUCUGUUCUGGUACAGAUCUACUAGUCACAGCAGUCCUCUCAGGAUCCCUCCCUCUGUUCUGGUACAGAUCUACAACACCAGUCCUCUCAGGAUCCCUCCCUCUGUUUUGGUACAGAUCUACUACACCCCUCCUCUCAGGAUCCCUCCCUCUGUUCUGGAACAGAUCUGCGACACCAGUCCUCUCAGGAUCCCUCCCUCUGUUCUGGUACAGAUCUACUACAUCAGUCCUCUCAGGAUCCCUCUCUGUUCUGGUACAUAUCUACUAGUCACACCCCUCCUCUCAGGAUCCCUCCCUCUGUUCUGGUUCAGAUCUACUAGUCACACCUCUCCUCUCAGGAUCCCUCCCUCUCUUCUGGUACAGAUCUACUACACCAGUCCUCUCAGGAUCCCUCUCUCUGUUCUGGUACAUAUCUACUAGUCACACCCCUCCUCUCAGGAUCCCUCCCUCUGUUCUGGUACAGAUCUACUACACCAGUCCUCUCAGGAUCCCUCUAUCUGUUCUGGUACAGAUCUACUAGUCACAGCAGUCCUCUCAGGAUCACUCCUUCUGUUCUGGUACAGAUCUACUAGUCACACCAGUCCUCUCAGGAUCCCUCCCUCUGUUCUGGUACAGAUGUACUACACCCCUCCUCUCAGGAUCCCUCCCUCUGUUCUGGUACAGAUCUACUACACCAGUCCUCUCAGGAUCCCUCCCUCUGUUCUGGUACAGAUCUACUAGUCACAGCAGUCCUCUCAGGAUCCUUCCCUCUGUUCUGGUACAGAUCUACUACACCAGUCCUCAGGAUCCCUCCCUCUGUUCUGGUACAGAUCUACUAGUCACACCAGUCCUCUCAGGAUCCCUCCCUCUGUUCUGGUACAGAUCUACUACACCACUCCUCUCAGGAUCCCUCCCUCUGUUCUGGUACAGAUCUACUACACCAGUCCUCUCAGGAUCCAUCCCUCUGUUCUGGUACAGAUCUACUACACCACUCCUCUCAGGAUCCCUCCCUCUUCCUCUCAGGAUCCCUCCCUCUGUUCUGGUACAGAUCUACUAGUUUCAGCAGUCCUCUCAGGAUCCCUGCCCCUUGACACAUCUUCCUCUACUUUCUUCACUGCCUUAGAAUAUGACAGCUUAUGCACUACUGUCCAUAAGCUUUACACCUCUAACAACGUAAUGUAUUCAGCACAAAAGCUUGUACAGGAUAACUUAUAUAUCUCAACAUUACUUCAACGAUUCUACAGCAUCCAACUCUGUUUUCACCCACCCUGAAACCACAACUGGAUCAGCCAAAUGGUAAGGGUCCACUUUUUCCCAAAACUUCACUCCUACUGUCACACUCAUCUUUAUCCGGAGCCUCGGUACAAGCCUCGGUCUCCGAGAACUUCACCACACCUAACCCAUGCAAUACUUUGACCUCAUUCAAUUCCAUUUCUCCUCUUGUCUUCAGCUCACUCUGCUUAUACUUUCUCCCAUUCUUAGUUAACAAACCAUCUCCCAUUUUCCCUCAAUUUUUUAACAAUUCAAGCUCACCCUCUUCCUCCCUCUCUCUUUUUCCCUCAAUUCCUCUUCCGUAUUCCAAGU
ensembl:lncRNA